rnacentral:rRNA from 1 species
UAAGUACCGAAGUCCCUGAUUUCACACUGCCAAGAAAAGCGUCUAGCGAGGAACAAGGUGCCCGUACCGCAAACCGACACAGGUAGGCGAGGAGAGAAUCCUAAGGUGCGCGGGAUAACUCUUGCUAAGGAACUCGGCAAAAUGGCCCCGUAACUUCGGGAGAAGGGGCGCCUCGGUAGGGUUUAUAGCCCGAGGAGGCCGCAGUGAAAAGGCCCAAGCGACUGUUUAGCAAAAACACAGGUCUCUGCGAAGCCGCAAGGCGAAGUAUAGGGGCUGACGCCUGCCCGGUGCUGGAAGGUUAAGGGGAUGGGUUAGCGCAAGCGAAGCUUUGAACCGAAGCCCCAGUAAACGGCGGCCGUAACUAUAACGGUCCUAAGGUAGCGAAAUUCCUUGUCGGGUAAGUUCCGACCCGCACGAAAGGCGUAACGACUUGGGCGCUGUCUCGGCAAGAGACCCGGUGAAAUCAUAAUACCUGUGAAGAUGCAGGUUACCCGCGACAAGACGGAAAGACCCCAUGGAGCUUUACUGUAGCCUGGUAUUGAAACUUUGUGCAUCAUGUACAGAAUAGGUGGGAAGCUGUGAAGCGAGGGCGCCAGCCUUCGUGGAGCUGUCGUUGGGAUACCACCCUUGAUGUACGGAGUUUCUAACUUGCCGCCCUUAUCGGGUGGAAGGACCAUGCCAGGUGGGCAGUUUGACUGGGGCGGUCGCCUCCUAAAGAGUAACGGAGGCGCCCAAAGGUUCCCUCAGAAUGGUCGGAAAUCAUUCGUAGAGUGUAAAGGCACAAGGGAGCUUGACUGCGAGACCUACAAGUCGAGCAGGGACGAAAGUCGGGCUUAGUGAUCCGGUGGUUCCGCAUGGAAGGGCCAUCGCUCAACGGAUAAAAGCUACCCUGGGGAUAACAGGCUUAUCUCCCCCAAGAGUCCACAUCGACGGGGAGGUUUGGCACCUCGAUGUCGGCUCAUCGCAUCCUGGGGCUGAAGUAGGUCCCAAGGGUUGGGCUGUUCGCCCAUUAAAGCGGUACGCGAGCUGGGUUCAGAACGUCGUGAGACAGUUCGGUCCCUAUCUGUCGCGGGCGUAGGAAGUUUGAGGAGAGCUGUCCUUAGUACGAGAGGACCGGGAUGGACGCACCUCUGGUGCACCAGUUGUCACGCCAGUGGCACAGCUGGGUAGCUAUGUGCGGACGGGAUAAGCGCUGAAAGCAUCUAAGCGUGAAGCCCCCUUCAAGAUGAGACUUCCCAUAGCGCAAGCUAGUAAGACCCCUCAUAGACGAUGAGGUUGAUAGGUUCGGUGUGGAAGUGCAGUAAUGCAUGGAGCUGACGAAUACUAAUCGGUCGA